UCCCCUCCGCCCGCGCCCCACGCUCGACCUCGAGAACAAGAAAAAUUUAAAACCCUAGCCGCCAAACCUUCUCCUCCCCACUCCAUCCUCCCCCACGCCGCCGCACCCUCUCCUCACACGCCUCAGCGCGCUCCCCUCCUCCUUGUGCCGCCGGCCUCCUUCCUUCUCCCCGCGCUAGAGCAGAGAUGCGCCUUCGUAUGGGUAGAAUCAGCAGCAGCAGUACCGUCUCCAUGGACGCGGCAGCGUGACGGCUCCCAGGCACGGAUCCCCUCCUCCGCCUCCAUCCUCCACCUCUUCGGUCGCCCUGUUCCAAUGUCCGGAGCAGCAGCAGCUGAUUUCCAUCUUCCAGUUCAUGUUCAUGGCCUUGUUGUGGUUGCACGGUGGUCCGUGGGGAACAGCAGCAAAUACCUUUGCUACAACCGAGGUCUUGACAGACCAGUCAGGGAGAGAUAGGUUCGGGGUUGUUAUGCUCUGUCCCCCGUGGUAAGUUUGCUAGGCAGCGGCUCACUCCUCGCUUGUUUUUUAGUUUUGACCAUGAUAUCAAAAUUACAUCUGGUCGAUGGUGUAAGUUUAGGCAGGUACCAUCUGCAUUUUGUGAAGAUUGCCAUCAUCUAAUUUUAUUGCGGCAUGAUGCAUAUGUAAUAAGGAAUUUGGUGUUUGAGAAGCAUCACCGGAAGUUGGUAUGCUAAUAUCUCAAUUGGCAAGAUAAAAGGACCACUACUUCUUACCUUCCAGUCAUUUUAAUAUUAUAGGAAUGCAAGUGUGUACUAAGUAGAAAAGAUGGUUGAAUUUAGUGCCCCUGCAUUUACAUGACUAGGUGUUAUCAGUUUUUGUUUCCUUUGAUGGCUCUGAGUACAAAUUGGAGCUUGUUGGGUACAAAAUGUUGCCAAGAUUAGUUUAGGAUCAGAAUUGUUGUCAUGUUGUCCAGAUAUUGCUCUAAGAGGUUCCUAGAAUUAGUUUAGGAUCAGAGUUAUUGUCAUGUUGUGUAGAUAUUGCUCUAAAGAUUUCGGACGUACUUUUCAGGUUGCUUGGUUAUAAUUUUUGCCCCCCAAAGGAAAGCUUUGGCCAGCUUCUUGCUAGAAUAUUAUCAUAAGGCUUGAUUAAUUUAGAACAUACUUGUGUCUUUUCACUCUUAUUUUAUUUUAAUAGUUAUCUGACAUGUUGUAAACUAUUUCUUUUAUUUUUCAGGAAGAAAUAGAAGUUGAGGGGAAGCAAUUGCAUGCUGGAAAAUCAGUUGGUGUUGUCAAUGUUGGUUUGAAGAAGAAAAGGACCGGCAAAUUGAUAGCUCAGGCACGUCAUACAAAGUACUUGUAUAUAGCAGAUUGCGAGGAUUCCCUUAUGUUGUAAGAUAAAAACCUGGUUAUAUGUUGCAUCUCAAAAUCAAGAUGUUGAUUCAAGAAGAGAAAGGAGUUGUCAGUGUGCCGUGCCAGGGAGGUGGAUGGGCUCGUCUCCACUGCGUUGUGAGCGCCGCCGCCGCCUCUGCAACCACCUUGCUCUGCAUAGUAGCAUGUGUGAGGAAUCGGGGACAAAGCGACCACAAGCAGAUGACGUCGGCGGCAACGGCAAUACGCAUGGUGCGCGAAGCCUGGUAAGAUGGGCGCGGCCUCCCCACAGGCGUUUCAGGAUGGCGUGCCCGGCGGCUCGGAACACGCGUGCCCGGCGCACAUGAGGUGUGUCCUGGAGCAGCACGCCGGCGGCAACGUGCACCGUGAGGUCCCGGAGCAGCCCAACCAGUACAGGAGGAACCCUGCCAUUCCAUCCUCACCUCUACUCAUAGCUUCAACAUUUGGCCCACUCUGGUUUUUGGUAAUGCUUUCUUGAGAGUGGAGUAGUCAUGGGCCUUUUAUAGAGACCUUGGUGAAGAACUUGUCAGUUGUCACUGCAAUUUAGUCAAAUGGGCGUUGAGAUUGAAGUUUUUUCUUUUGUUGACUUUCUGAUAAGUUACAACAACAUCGACAAGGUUAUGUGGGAGCCUUUUAUAGAGCCCUCAUGUUUUCAUUUGAAUAUACUUCGAAAAUGUAGAUUGACAAUAAAGGUACGAGGUCCAUUGCUAAUGAAUAAGUAGUCUUGCUGAAGGUGAUAAAUCUCCAAAUUGAUGGAUAAGCCGAAGGUGAUAUUCAAGAGAUCCAUUUCUAAUGAAUAAGUAGUCUUGCUGAAGUUGAUAAAUAUCCAAACUGAUGGAUAGGCCGAAGGUGAUAUUCAACCUUUUUUAUACUGUAGUCGUGCUGAAGUGAAAGCAUCUGUGGAUGCAUGUAUACAUGCUUUUCAAUCUUUCUUUGUUGUCAAACUGUGGCAUGUAAAGUAUGGGAGGACCAAGUGAUUAUAAACUGUGUCAAACCCAUGUCUUUACAUGAUUUUUCUAACAUGGAAGUAGUCACUUCCUGGAUACUGGAGUAUGUACAUAGAGCUGGAACGCUUAUCGCCUCAUGAUUUGCUAGAGUAAAAUCAAGCAUGAGACAUGUGUUAGGAUGAUGGAUUUCGUUAUUAAAAAUAAGGAUGUAAUAUAAGAGCACUUGGAAUGCA